rnacentral:rRNA from 1 species
CCCGCCGGCGACCGGCGCACGGGUGAGUAACACGUAUGAACCUGCCCGUAGCAGGGGAUAAGCGGAAGAAAUUCCGUCUAAUACCGCGUAACAACCCAUGGAGGCAUCUCUGUGGGUUUAAAGGAAGCGAUUCCGGCUACGGAUGGUCAUGCGUCGCAUUAGCUUGUUGGCGGGGUAACGGCCCACCAAGGCGACGAUGCGUAGGGGUUCUGAGAGGAAGGUCCCCCACACUGGUACUGAGACACGGACCAGACUCCUACGGAAGGCAGCAG